GUUGCACACUGUUAGAGCCCAGCGCUGCCCCUGUCUGUGCAGUGCAGGGUGUAGGAUGUGUGCUAAAAAAUAUGCUUGACCUUUAAUCACCUCUUUCUGAACCACACAGGGAGAAUGGGGUAGAGGUCUUGCCACAAAA
rnacentral:snoRNA from 12 species